rnacentral:rRNA from 1 species
AUUGAACGCUGGCGGCAUGCCUUACACAUGCAAGUCGAACGGCAGCACGGGAGCAAUCCUGGUGGCGAGUGGCGAACGGGUGAGUAAUAUAUCGGAACGUGCCCAGUCGUGGGGGAUAACGCAGCGAAAGCUGUGCUAAUACCGCAUACGAUCUACGGAUGAAAGCGGGGGAUCGCAAGACCUCGCGCGAUUGGGGCGGCCGAUAUCAGAUUAGCUAGUUGGUGAGGUAAAGGCUCACCAAGGCGACGAUCUGUAGCUGGUCUGAGAGGACGACCAGCCACACUGGAACUGAGACACGGUCCAGACUCCUACGGGAGGCAGCAGUGGGGAAUUUUGGACAAUGGGCGCAAGCCUGAUCCAGCAAUGCCGCGUGCAGGAUGAAGGCCUUCGGGUCGUAAACUGCUUUUGUACGGAACGAAACGGUGAGCUCUAAUACAGUUUGCUAAUGACGGUACCGUAAGAAUAAGCACCGGCUAACUACGUGCCAGCCGCCGCAGUAAUAC